rnacentral:tRNA from 1 species
AAAGAAUUAGUUAAAACAUAACAUUAGAAUGUCAAACUAAUAUUACUGAUAUAAUCAGUAUUCUUUA